rnacentral:rRNA from 2 species
GCCUAUACUGCAGGUCGAACGAGGUUGGGUCAGUUUGUGGUGGUGCUUGUAUCACCAAUUACCUAUAAGGGGAGUGGAGGACGGCCGAGUAACACGUGGGCAACCUUUUCUACAGCAGGGGAUAACAUUUGGAAACUUAUGCUAAUACCGUAUGACCACGGAGACCGCAUGGGCUCCGGGUAAAAGAUGGCUCACGCUAUCUCUGAAGGAUGGACGCCGCGGCGUAUUACCCAGGUGGUGGGGGAACGGCCUACCAAAGCGAUGAUACGUAGCUCGAUCUGAGAGGGCAAUCGGUCACACUGGGACUGAGACACGGCCCAAACUCCUACGGGAGGUAGCAGUAGGUAAUCUACCACAGUGGACGCGAGUGUGAUGGAGCAUCGCCGCGUGAGUGAAGACGGCUUUCGGGUACUAUAAUUCUGUUAUUGAAGAUCAGUGUGUGAGAGAGUCACUGGAUCUGCAGUGAUGGUAUUCAAUCUCAAGGCCAGGGAUAGCUCCGCGCCAUCCGUCGAAGUAAAACAUAUGUGGCACGGGUUGUCCGGAUCCAUUGCGCGUAAAGUGAGUGCAGGCCGUGUUGUCAGUCUGAUCCGGAAGAAUUCUGCUUAAGCUAACAGGGGCAUCGAAAGCCGGGAAACUUGCGUGCAUAAGAGGACAGCGGAAUCUCGUUGUGACUCGGAGAAAUGCGUA